rnacentral:rRNA from 1 species
ACUCCUACGGGAGGCAGCAGUAGGGAAUCUUCCGCAAUGGACGAAAGUCUGACGGAGCAACGCCGCGUGAGUGAUGAAGGUUUUCGGAUCGUAAAGCUCUGUUGUUAGGGAAGAACAAGUACCGUUCGAAUAGGGCGGUACCUUGACGGUACCUAACCAGAAAGCCACGGCUAACUACGUGCCAGCAGCCGCGGUAAUACGUAGGUGGCAAGCGUUGUCCGGAAUUAUUGGGCGUAAAGGGCUCGCAGGCGGUUUCUUAAGUCUGAUGUGAAAGCCC